rnacentral:snRNA from 2 species
GUCCCUUCAGGGACAUGUGAUAAAAUUGGAAUGAUACAGGGAAUAUUAGCAUGGCCGCUUCAAGGAUUUUUUUUUUGAGAAUCUCACAAAGCUUUA